rnacentral:lncRNA from 1 species
GUAAUAUAUGCAAACUGACUUCGCUAGAGGAGCUCUACGUUGGUUAUUGUGAGAAGCUUCAAGAAUUACCAGAACUGCCCUCCGGCUUAACCUAUCUGUCCUCCGGCUUAACCUAUCUGCCCUCCAGCUUAACCUAUCUGGUGAUCGCCUGGCAGGGGCAGUCUUUGCCCCAUCUUUCCCAGCUAACCCAUCUCAAGUAUCUAUGUCUUUCCCAUUGUCAUCGGC